AUGAACGCUGGCGGCGUGGAUAGGGCAUGCAAGUCGAGCGCCCCGCAUAGCUCCGCAAGGAGCGACGUGGGGAGCGGCAAACGAGUUCAGUAACACCCUGGUACGUACCCCGAAGUCGGGCAUAAUCUUCCGAAAGGAGGACUAAUUCUCGAUAGUCUUGUAAAAGUAAAGAUGCAAAUCGCUUCGGGAGCGACCUAGGCACUAUCAGCUAGUUGGUGAGGUAACGGCCCACCAAGGCUAUGACGGUUAGGGGAGGUGAGAGCCUGAUCCCCAACGACACUACUGAGACACGGAGUGUACAUCUACGGAUGGCUGCAGUCGAGAAUAUUCGACAAUGGGCGAAAGCCUGAUCGAGCGACGCCGCGUGCAGGAAGAAGGGCUUCGGCCUGUAAACUGCUUUUGCGUGGGAAGAAUUUUGACGGUACCACGAGAAUAAGGGGUUGCUAACUCUGU
rnacentral:rRNA from 1 species